GUGCUUGCUUCGCCAGCACGUAUAUUAAAAUUGGAACGAUACGGAGAAGAUUAGCAUGGGCCCUGCGCGAAAAUGGCAUGUAAACUCGUGAAGCGUUCCAUCAUCAU
rnacentral:snRNA from 1 species